AACAGGCCUGCUACCACAUAAAAACCAAACAGCCAAAGACAGAACCACAGAUGCUAAGUGGGCCAGUGUUUUAUAGAGAAGAGUAACAGAGAGGAGGAAGAGAAAGACAAGGAGGAGGAAUUGAAGAUUCUGAAGAAACUCAGGAGCUGCCUCCUUUCCACCGACAGACUGGAACUGACAACGGAACUCAAGACGCUGGCAUUUCCCGGGGACUCUCAUGCUGGGAGAAGAGAAAGGUUGGGUCCUGGGUGCCAGAAGGGAGAACUUCUUUCCCAGAAAGUGACCUCCCAGAAUUCUCAUGGCUUGUCAGACCACCUUGCAGGAGAGAAUAGGGCCAAGACUAUGGCGGGGCUACACCCAGGCACCAACUGCUUAGCUCUGCACCCCGAACUUUCUGUUAGGACCCCGAAGACAGACAUGGAACACCCCUUUGUUCCUCUUCUCAAGUGAAUAAAUCUCCAUUUUCUGUUUCUCACCAUUA